rnacentral:lncRNA from 1 species
GGCGAUCAUAUGCUGCUUCAGAGUUCCAGAUUUACAUGUAAGUUAAUAUGCCACUUCUUGUUAAGUUGUUUGAGGCAACUUCACAUGAGUUUAGUUGAUCUUAGCAGUUAUUUAUAUCAAUUUACAUUUGAUGCUUCAUCGUAGUGCGGUUGUUUCGAAUUAUGAAAUGAAAAUCGUUCUUCACUUUGAUGUUAAUUAAAAUUUUACAGUAAAAAUUGAUCGGUAAUACUUUUCAAGAAUGGAGCAAGGAUUGCAACCACCAUAUGACCUCUACAAUCAGAAAAUUUUGCACAACUAAGUAAUACUCUACGUUGCAUUGAACAUGAAAAAAUUAUCAAUUUAUCUUAAGUAUUGUACGAAAGUUUUGAUUCCCCUGUUUUUGGGAGAAAUAUUGGAGCAC